AGAGUUUGAUCCUGGCUUAGGAUGAACGCUAGCUACAGGCUUAACACAUGCAAGUCGAGGGGCAGCAUGGGAGUUGCUGCAAUUCCUGAUGGCGACCGGCGCACGGGUGAGUAACGCGUAUCCAACCUUCCCCUUAGUAGGGCAUAGCCCGGUGAAAAUCGGAUUAAUACCCUAUGUUCUUCACAGCAGACAUCUAACGUGAAGCAAAGGUUCACCGCUAAGGGAUGGGGAUGCGUCUGAUUAGGUAGUAGGCGGGGUAACGGCCCACCUAGCCUUCGAUCAGUAGGGGUUCUGAGAGGAAGGUCCCCCACAUUGGAACUGAGACACGGUCCAAACUCCUACGGGAGGCAGCAGUGAGGAAUAUUGGUCAAUGGGCGAGAGCCUGAACCAGCCAAGUAGCCGUGCAGGAUGACGGCCCUAUGGGUUGUAAACUGCUUUUAUAUGGGGAUAAAGUUCACCACGUGUGGUGUUUUGUAGGUACCAUAUGAAUAAGGACCGGCUAAUUCCGUGCCAGCCGCCGC
rnacentral:rRNA from 1 species